rnacentral:rRNA from 1 species
AUUGAACGCUGGCGGCAGGCCUAACACAUGCCAGUCGAGCGGAUGAAGGGAGCUUGCUCCUGGAUUCAGCGGCGGACGGGUGAGUAAUGCCUAGGAAUCUGCCUGGUAGUGGGGGAUAACGUCCGGAAACGGGCGCUAAUACCGCAUACGUCCUGAGGCAGAAAGUGGGGGAUCUUCGGACCUCACGCUAUCAGAUGAGCCUAGGUCGGAUUAGCUAGUUGGUGGGGUAAGGGCCUACCAAGGCGACGAUCCGUAACUGGUCUGCGAGGAUGAUCAGUCACACUGGAAGUGAGACACGGUCCAGACGCCUACGGGAGGCAGCAGUGGGGAAUAUUGGACAAUGGGCGAAAGCCUGAUCCAGCCAUGCCGCGUGUGUGAAGAAGGUCUUCGGAGUGUAAAGCACUUCAAGUUGGGAGGAAGGGCAGUAAGUUAAGACCUUGCUGUUUUGACGGUACCAACAGAAUAAGCACCGGCUAACUUCGUG